GGCCUCGUUACACAGCUGGUAGAGCUUUCCCUGUACAGAAGAGUGGGAGACAUCCAUGCGUGGGUUCGAGUCCCACCGAGGCUA
rnacentral:tRNA from 1 species